GGCUUCGGUUAUGCCUGUUGUACUCUGUGAUGACUCUGGAUAACUUCACUGAUCGCAGUCGGCCUUGUGUCGGCGACGGAUCUUUCAAAUGUCUGCCCUAUCAACUGUCGAUGGUAGGUGACCUGCCUACCAUGGUGAUAACGGGUAACGGGGAAUCAGGGUUCGAUUCCGGAGAGGGAGCCUGAGAAACGGCUACCACUUCUAAGGAAGGCAGCAGGCGCGAAAAUUACCCACUCCCGGCACGGGGAGGUAGUGACGAAAAAUACGAAUACGGGACUCAACUGAGGCUCCGUAAUUCGAAUGAGUACACUUUAAAUCCUUUAACGAGGACCAAUUGGAGGGCAAGUCUGGUGCCAGCAGCCGCGGUAACUCCAGCUCCAAAAGCGUAUAUUAAAGUUGCUGCAGUUAAAAAGCUCGUAGUUGGAUCUGGGUGGUGUGGCGACAUGCCGUUGCUCGUGCUACUGCCUAGACUACGGUCUUGGUGGGAGUGCGGGUCGGUGUAGUUGCCGUGCAACC
rnacentral:rRNA from 1 species